rnacentral:misc_RNA from 1 species
AAAGUCGUAACAAGGUUUCCGUAGGUGAACCUGCGGAAGGAUCAUUCACGAUGAAGUGUGUAUGGCACUUUUUCAAAAAUCCCAUAUCCACCUUGUGUGCAACGUUCGAAGGAUCUUUUUUCGCUUCGCGUGAAGGAAGCCUUACAAUUUUAACCUGCGCUUGAACUAGUUUGUCUGAAUACAAUCGUACGACGAAUUGACCUAAUUCGAAAAUACAACUUUCAACAACGGAUCUCUUGGCUCUC